UACGGGGGGGGGCAAGCGUUGUUCGGAAUUACUGGGCGUAAAGGGCUCGUAGGUGGCCAACUAAGUCAGACGUGAAAUCCCUCAGCUUAACUGGGGAACUGCGUCUGAUACUGGAUGGCUUGAGUUUGGGAGAGGGAUGCGGAAUUCCAGGUGUAGCGGUGAAAUGCGUAGAUAUCUGGAGGAACACCGGUGGCGAAGGCGGCAUCCUGGACCAACACUGACACUGAGGAGCGAAAGCCAGGGAGCAAACGGG
rnacentral:rRNA from 1 species